rnacentral:rRNA from 1 species
AUUGAACGCUGGCGGCAGGCCUAACACAUGCAAGUCGAACGAGUGGCGGACGGGUGAGUAAUGUCUGGGAAACUGCCUGAUGGAGGGGGAUAACUACUGGAAACGGUAGCUAAUACCGCAUACCAUCAGAUGUGCCCAGAUGGGAUUAGCUAGUUGGUGGGGUAACGGCUCACCAAGGCGACGAUCCCUAGCUGGUCUGAGAGGAUGACCCGCCACACUGGAACUGAGACACGGUCCAGACUCCCUCGGGAGGUAGCAGUGGGGAAUAUUUCAAAAUGGGCGCAAGCCCGAUGCAGCCAUGCCGGGUGUAUGAAGAAGGCCUUCGGGUUGUAAAGUACUUUCAGCGGGGAAGCGUUACCCGCAGAAGAAGCACCGGCUAACUCCGUGCCAGCAGCCGCGGUAAUUC